UUCUUUCUUUUAAUCAGCACUUCAACUUCUUCACUCACUCACUCUCUCGUUCUCGCUUGCAACGUUUCUUUCUUUGAAAUCUCAAACCCUAAUUUCUUGUUUGUUCCACAAUUUCUCAAUCAAUUGCUCAUCAAUUUCUCAAUCAAUUCCACAAUUCAAACCCUAAUUCACAACACUAUGGUCGAUUUUGCUUCUCAUCAUCAUCCAACCCUGUUUUUCAACAUGGGUGAUCAUCAUCUCGAUGAUCUUCAUACUGAUAAGAAGAAAACAUUCAACUCUGCCAAAGCACACACAACCUCCAAACCUGUUCUUCAACCACCUCAAACAAACGAUCAAAAUCGGAUCUUGAAGAUCACCUUUUUCUCCUCUUCUGUUCGUAACAAGGAGAAACAACAACAGGAGAAACCUUAUUUGUGUCGUGUUUGCGAAAGGGCUUUUACAUCCAACCGAGCUUUGAAUGGACAUAUGAGAUGUCACAGUUCCAAGAAGGGUACUUCUCCAUUUUUGACUUGUCAUGAUGCUAUUGACUUGUCAAGGUUUUUGCCCCCAAAAACCUACAAGACCCGUAAACGUUCAAGGAGAUUUUUCAUUGAUGAUGAUGUCCGUGAGGUUGCUCAAUCAUUGUUAGAUAUGUCUUGUGGGAAAUCGUUAUAUUUUGAUGCGGAUAAUCACGAUAACAACGGUAAAAGAUUGAAGCUUUCCGAUGAAAAAGCAAGGUGUUGAUGAUCCUUUGUCUAUUUGUGUUAAUUGAAUUGAAUGAACAGGAUUUUAUCAUCUUAUUAUUGUUAUAACUUGUGCUGUUUCGAUGUUUUGGUAGUGGAAUUUAUUCUUGUAUAUGAAGUAUAGAAUUGAAACACUUGAGUUUUUGUAUGAUGUUUUUAUGUUUGAAUUCAUAUUCUUACACUUGUUAUUGUUUAUUUCAUGUGUCAUUCUUUCAUGAAUUGAUGAGCAUAAAAGCAAAAUCAAUGAUCCUUUUCCAAAGUCCCCUAUAUUGGCAAUAAUGGUUUCAUUAAGGUAAGUUAAUAUUUUGGAUUAUCACAAAAUCUACUGAUGAUCUCUCUGCUACUUUAUUGAUCAUUUGGAUUAUAAGGUAAGUUAGCUUUCCAUUAAGUUUUCUUAUCCGAUUCCGUCUAAAUAAUUGAUUGGUAACUAUUUAUUUUUGCUGGUCAUUUUGGUUUUAAUCUUUAACACUUCUUGAUGUAUUCUAUUCAACCAUCACUAUAUGUCAUUUGUUAGUACGAAUCAGUUAUACUCUUUUCUAAUUUCAACGUUAUCCAUCGUUCUCUCUUUAUCCUUGUUAUUUUCUUUUUUCAAAGCAGUUGUAACCGUACUUGUGAAAUUUCACCAGUGAAAUAUUGCAGAGAUGGAACCGUCAAAUAGAUAGGAAAGAGGGGCAAAAUUGUGUGUAAAAAUGUUUAUAUAUUCUCUCUUUUUUUUCAUCAAAUCCGGCGUGUUGAGUAAAUCUAACUGUAAAAUUUUACCGCAACACCGGUGAGGGACUUAGUUGAGCCCUCACCCUAGAAGCCACCUUGGUUUCGUGUGGGUGAUGUUCUCAAUUUUUUUGAAUUACCUUUUAGUCUCUAAACCAGUUAUUUUGUGCAUGUGGCUUAUCCUUUUCUUUUCCAUUUAUAUAUUCAAUCUGCUUAGAUUUUUAUUUUCCCUUUUUUCUAAAUUAAGUCUUUUAUUUUUGGUGCAAUGCUUAAUACACUCACAUUUAUAUCAAGAUUCGAGAUGAAAACGAUAUUUUCUGCAGUUUCUUAAAAUUUCUAAUUGGGUUGUCGAUUUCUUUUCACUUUUUUGUUAUUCUGGAUUUAAAAUCUCCCUUUCAAAUAUUAUUGUUUGUAUCUUUUUGUAUGUAAUGGUGGGUGUCUCAUAAACAGAUUUUGAAGCACGAGUGGCCAGCAAGAUGGCGAAGCUUCAUUCCUGAUCUUGUCUCAGCAGCUAAAACUAGUGAAACAAUCUGCGAGAAUUGCAUGGCUAUACUGAAACUUUUGAGUGAAGAGGUUUUUGAUUUUUCGAGAGGAGAAAUGACACAGCAGAAGAUAAACGAGCUUAAACAUUCAUUGAACAGGUAGUUGUUAACUGCUUAAUGUAUUCUUUCCUGCUUUCCAUUUCACUUAUCUUCCUUUUAAGUUGAGUGUCUGAAAGAUUAUAAGGUAAGUUAAUAAUGGUUUCAUUAAAGUAAGUUAAUAUUUUUGGAUUAUCACAAAAUCUACUGAUGAUCUCUCUGCUACUUUAUUGAUCAUUUGGAUUAACAGGUAAGUUAGUUUUCCAUUAAGUUUUCUUAUCCGAUUCCAUCUAAGUAAUUGAUUGCUAACUAUUCAUUUUUGCUGGUCAUUUUGGUUUUAAUCUUUAACACUUCUUGAUGCAUUAUAUUCCACCAUCACUAUAUGUCAUUUGUUAGACACAAAAUUUGCAAAGUUUUGUUCUGCCAAAGACAGGUUGGUAUGGUUAUUGAGCAAGCUUCAAGGACGCCACUAGCACCGUUCAGGAAAAACCCCUAGAUUUUGACAUUCAGUUCUUGCCAUACCUCUCCAGGUACGCCAAAUUUAUAAUGUUGCCCAACCUUUCAUUUCAAUUUUAUCGAUUAUUAAGUCAAUGAUCCUCAUUGGUGGAGUGGAAGUAAAAACUGACAUGAAGAAAAUUGAGGAACAAGGAGCAAACAUCUUUAUCAGCAGGUCUGGUCGAUUACACGACAUGAUGAAUUGGACGGAUGUUUUGGAUUUCAAAAUUUGAGGUUGCUGAAGAGCUUGAUAAAACAGGAUUGAGGAACUCUCUGAGGGUUGAAGUUUGAGCAGAAACAAAAACAACAAAUGGGCAAUGGCAUGCAACAUCAAAACAAAGAGUCUUCAAAGACACUUUCGUGUCUUCACAUUGAGAAAAUGGAAGCGAAGUGAUUGGUAUUUCAUGUUUUAAUCACCUUGUAUGCAUUCACAUUGUUGACAUGCUAAUCAUAUUAGGCUAUGAGUUGUAUGACAUGAAGGCUAGUGGAGUGAAAGGUAAGCCCACAUCUCCAUUCCAUUUCUUACCUGGAGCUCCUUAGUUCUUUGCAACCUAGAGCUGUGAAUUGGGGUCUUGUAACAAAGGGAGUAACUGGAAUGGUAGAGAUUAAGAUGUUAACUGAUUAUGCAAGUGAAGAGCCUAAUUUGUGCGAAUGGAUGCAAGAGGAUAAAGAACUGUCUACUCAUGGUCAUUAUCUUUACUACGAGAUUGGAGAAAUUGAUAAAGAGCUUUAUUUGGUUAGGGGAUAUCACUCAAAGGAAGCUGGUAGUUGUUAGUUUAUCCUUCAUUGGCAAAACUGAAUAUCACCAAAUUGUUGAGUAAAGUUGAAACUCUAUUCAACUUGUAUAUCCCAAAUUGUUGAGUUGGUGAAGGUCUUAUAUUUGAACCUCUUUGCUUAGUGUGACAUAUAUAUAUAUAUGAUGCUGUUGGUAUUAUUGGAACACCACCUUCAUCAUUAUCCACUAAAUUGUCUUGUAAUUCAAUCUCCACCAUCUGCUAAUAUAAGUCAUACACUCCUUUUUUCAGAUGCUAGUAUAAACUUUCAAAAGGUACAUCAGCAGCUAAUCUGUUAUUGUCUGUACUAGAUAGUUUAGAAUCUUCUACGAC